AUUGAACGCUGGCGGCAUGCCUUACACAUGCAAGUCGAACGGUAACGCGGGGGCAACCCUGGCGACGAGUGGCGAACGGGUGAGUAAUACAUCGGAACAUAUCCAGUAGCGGGGGAUAACCUAUCGAAGGAUUGGCUAAUACCGCAUACGAUCUACGGAUGAAAGCGAGGGACCGCAAGGCCUUGCACUAUUGGAGUGGCCGAUGUCAGAUUAGCUAGUUGGUGGGGUAAAAGCCUACCAAGGCGACGAUCUGUAGCUGGUCUGAGAGGACGAUCAGCCACACUGGAACUGAGACACGGUCCAGACUCCUACGGGAGGCAGCAGUGGGGAAUUUUGGACAAUGGGCGCAAGCCUGAUCCAGCCAUGCCGCGUGAGUGAAGAAGGCCUUCGGGUUGUAAAGCUCUUUCGGUGAAGACGAAACGGUUAGCGCUAAUAACGCUGACUAAUGACGGUACUCACAGAAGAAGCACCGGCUAACUACGUGCCAGCCGCCGCAGUAA
rnacentral:rRNA from 1 species